UACGUAGGGUGCAAGCGUUAAUCGGAAUUACUGGGCGUAAAGGGCGCGUAGGCGGCAUGACAAGUCACUUGUGAAAUCUCCGGGCUUAACUCGGAACGGCCAAGUGAAAACUGUCAAGCUAGAGUGCAGAAGGGGCAAUCGGAAUUCUUGGUGUAGCGGUGAAAUGCGCAGAUAUCAGGAGGAACACCGGUGGCGAAGGCGGUUCUCUGGGCAUUACCUGACGCUGAGGAGCGAAAGUGUGGGGAGCGAACGGG
rnacentral:rRNA from 1 species